UAAAGGGAGGGGCGAAGAAGAGGCUGGAAGGGGUGCGUGCGCAUGUGCACGUGGGCACGCAUGCGCGCGAGAGCUACUGGUGUCCUUGCAGGCCCGGGUGUCAGAGCCCCCUGGGGUUGGAGGUAUAGGCGCUUCUGAGAGCCUGAGGGAGAUGCUACGAACAGAACUCAGACCUUCUGCAAAAAACGGUACUGCAUGAGUGUCUCCAGCACCGAACAGGCCCUACUCACUCUCCCAUCUCCUUUAAACACUUCAGGGAGAGUUGGUGUCCCCGUUCGAGUCAGUUCCAAUGACUGCCCUUCACUUCCAUAGAGCCUGCAUUUCCCUUUACGCAUGCUAUCAAAAUGAUAAAUAACUCUACAACUAGUGCAUGUAUUCAGAAAACUCCGUAAGGGCAGAGGUCACCCUCUCUACCUUCUGUCCCCACUGCAUCCCCACUGUGUGUCAUGGGACCUACAAUAUGGUACACAGUCCCUAAAUAUUUAGUGAAGAAAUUAACAUGGAAUGAAUAAGAGAAGCAAAAGGGGACCGGACCAAUGAGAUGGAAUGAAGCAGUACCUCCUGGAUGGUCUCAUUCAGAACUCCAAGCUGGCCUUGAAUUCAGUGAUCGGCCUGCCCCCACCUCUCAAAUGCUGGCGUUACAGUCAUGAGUCACCAGUCUGUGAGAUCACUGGGAGUCUCAUUUUGACAUGUCCUAAGCUCCUGUGUGCUCUGAACUCCCAGCCCAUCCUCCCUCAAACCUACCCAAUGUCAAGAAGUGAACAGCGCAACAAGUGGGACAGCCUCAGCCAUGCCCUGCAUCUGCUCAGUGUGCCCUGCCUGCCAAAGAGGAAAUGCUAUCCCAGGUACAGGACCAAGAAUGGUGGCAGUGGAAUGUUAUACUGCUGGACCACAGAGGAGGCAGAAAACACCAAGGAAACUCCAAAAAAAUCAGAGGGGAAGGAGGAACAUGGCUGAUUCUACUUAUUUGACACAUCCCGCAAACUGAAAAGACAAAGGCGGGCUCUUUAGACACCUUUGGAACAGAGCCAAGUGUGAAGGUAGACAAAGACCUGCAGCCGACUCUGAGCUGGAGUGCCGUCUACAAAACCUCAAGAGGUGACAGUUUUGGCGUCGGUAACGAACAAAUGAAGAAGGGGCAGUUUGUCAUAAAGAGGAAAAUGUCAGGUGGAGGCCCCGUGCUUUUGGGAUGAGGUGUCUUGUGGGACAAAGCUGGGGUUCACUCACCUUGGCCAGGAGCCGGCUGGCCUGAGAGGUCAGUGCCUGGGUCUGUCCUGUGGAGGGCUGGUCUGUGGCAAUGCCCUGGCUCUGAGGAAGCCGCCCUGGAGUGGCCACGCCGGGGGACGAGGAGGGACUCAGGUAGCCCCAUCCUUAGCCUGGGAAUCACGAACACCACUUUUCAGUGGGUCCUACACUGGGCGGAGGACUUAAAAGCCGCCUCCUAUUGUCUUUCCAGAGGUCCUGAAAACGAGGCAGGAAUGUGUGCUCCAAAGUCAGAGGCCAGGCACCGACUCAGGCUCCGUCAUGAUACACCUCAGUUCUGGAGUGGAUGGCACAGUUGGCAUCACCGUGCAUGAAGUCAGUGUUAUGCUGUGAGCGCUCAGCUUGCUGUUCAGACUGCCAACUGUGCUUCUCCACCGUGAUGGUGAUGGACCCUUGAGCCAUAAACCCACCUAACUCCCUCCUUCUGGUGCGAAAUGUGGAUGACUACCGGGAAGACCUGACUCCACAGUGAUUAUCUAUCAAAAAGAGAGCAGAGGAGAAAAGGCAGACAGAAGAUAUUUGGAAAGAAGAAAUGCAAGAAGGGCUGCAGAGACUUGAGGGGCACACGGGCCAAGUGCCACCCACAAGUUUCAUCUGACUGCAGGGGACGGAAAGAACAAGCCACUGCUGAGUGCGUGGGGGACCUGUUUCUGCCUCCGCAUGCGACCCUGUGGGCAGAGUUCUUAGAGUUAAACAAUAAACUACAAAAUAACUGCAGCAACGUCACCUCCAUUUCUGUCACCUGGGUGUGGAAAGUUGUGGCACGGACUCUGUGGCAGGGCUUUGGGCAAGAUGGAAGGCUGAGGGACUUCGGUAUCUCCUUCCCAGGUAGAACCAAGGCUGUCACUAGGUUGACGGAGGCUCACAGUUCCACUGCUCCAAGACUUUGUGCGGCUAUGUUCAACAGAUGGCUGGGCCUCGAGAUGCUCUGAAGGUAAGUCUACCUCAGGCCUCCCAGAGGCCUCAUCCAGCUCCUCUUCAGACAUGUCCAGCUGUUGGUUGCUCCUGGAGAGCCAGGGCAGAGGCACGGUGGAACCCUCUGGGCUGCUUGCAUCGUCAGCUUCGGUCUCUGGAAAGACAGGCAGGUCACUCACUGAUGAGUGAGCAUGUGCUGGGUCUAUAAUGCCACCUGAAUCACUUCAUGACCUCAUGAUGCUGAGGAGGACAAGAACCUAGGGCCACCCCCACAUAACCAGGCCACCGCAGAGCAGCCUGCACCAUCGCAGAGGCCCCUACGUGCAGAAAGAGGAACGGCCAGUUUGCUGCAAUGACUCAGCCACAAAAAUCUCACCGUUCUCCGGAGAGCCCACACAUCCCUGGCAGCAACAGUCAGUGGUUACAGUUUUGCACCCAUUUCUCAAGUGCCUCGACUUGUGAGCUUUACCUGAGAAAGACCUUACUCUUCUGUGCAAGUCACAGCCCUCAGUGUCAUGGAGCCUGGAACUGGCCAAGUCAGGUAGUCAAUCAACAAACACACAUCAGUGUCAAAUAGGUACCAACCUCAGGCAGAGAUGAAGUUGCAAUAGAGCAGCAGGCUGAGCACCAGGCAAGCAGAUCCCAGCCAGCCCUGUAUGUUCCAGCCACUCGAGGCAUGUGGCUGGCUGACUGCUCCUCUCUGUAAAGGGGAAUGGUGGUCACCUAGGCCUGUUCCUGCUGCACCCAUCCCUCUGUCUGGUGAGCACCCUGACCCUCAGAGACGCACCAAAUGAACUUGGAGGUUCUCAGCCCCUAGGAUACAGAAACACACAUGCUUGCCAAGAUCCCACCCUCCGUGGAGGACGCAAUCCAGAAAAACCACUGAAGAAGGAAGUUUGGUGACAGCUUUAACAGACCAAGCACAUCUAGGGGAGAAAGAGGAAGGGGAAUCGGGACAGAGGAACAGCACAGACAAAAACACAGAGGUCUGAAAAUACAAGCUGAACUUCAAGGAUGGCUCAGGGCCUGGCCCCUGAGUGCCACAGGCAGGCAGGGAAGUCUGGACAGCCGUCAGGGUAGCAGUGGAAGCUGGGGAUUCGAAUUAUGAUGUCCUGACCCAGGAGGGCCAGCCCCUCUAUAACUAGGUCCUGCUAAUGGUUGGGCCAUUGAGCUAAAGGUCCCCACCUGCCCCCAGAGAAACUGCACCCCACCCUCCCCAAAAAAACACCAAACACUGCUU
rnacentral:lncRNA from 1 species